GACGAACGCUGGCGGCGUGCCUAAUACAUGCAAGUCGAACGAGAGCGACCGGUGCUUGCACUGGUCAAUCUAGUGGCGAACGGGUGAGUAACUCGUGGGUAACCUGCCCAUCAGAGGGGGAUAACAUCCGGAAACGGAUGCUAAAACCGCAUAGGUCUUCGAGCCGCAUGGCUUGAAGAGGAAAAGAGGCGCAAGCUUCUGCUGAUGGAUGGACCCGCGGUGCAUUAGCUAGUUGGUGAGGUAACGGCUCACCAAGGCCGUGAUGCAUAGCCGACCUGAGAGGGUGAGUGGCCACAUUGGGACUGAGACACGGCCCAGACUCCUACGGGAGGCAGCAGUAGGGAAUCUUCCGCAAUGGACGCAAGUCUGACGGAGCAACGCCGCGUGAGUGAAGAAGGUUUUCGGAUCGUAAAACUCUGUUGUUAGGGAAGAACAAGUGCUAGAGUAACUGUUAGCGCCUUGACGGUAGCUAACCAGAAAGCCACGGCUAACUACGUG
rnacentral:rRNA from 1 species